rnacentral:rRNA from 1 species
UACGUAGGGGGCAAGCGUUGUCCGGAAUCAUUGGGCGUAAAGAGCGUGUAGGCGGCCCGAUAAGUCCGCCGUGAAAGUCCAGGGCUCAACCCUGGAAUGCCGGUGGAAACUGUCGGGCUGGAGUCCGGAAGAGGCGAGUGGAAUCCUGGUGUAGCGGUGAAAUGCGCAGAUAUCAGGAGGAACACCAAUGGCGAAGGCAGCUCGCUGGGACGGUACUGACGCUGGAGACGCGAAAGCGUGGGGAGCGAAACAGG